CUUAAGGACCAUAGAUCAAGAAUUGGUUUUGUUGGAACAAUACAGAGAAUAUUAGCAUAGCCCUUGUGCAAGUUGACAUGCAAAUUCAUGAAGUGUUCCAUAUUAAA